UGCCCCAGUAACGGCGAGUGAAGCGGCAAUAGCUCAAAUUUGAAAUCUGGCUCCUUUGGGGUCCGAGUUGUAAUUUGGAGAGGGUGCUUUGGUGUUGGCAGCAGCCUAAGUUCCUUGGAACAGGUCAUCAUAGAGGGUGAGAAUCCCGUAUGUGGCUGAUUGUCUUCACCGUGUAAAGCCCCUUCGACGAGUCGAGUUGUUUGGGAAUGCAGCUCUAAAUGGGAGGUAAAUUUCUUCUAAAGCUAAAUACUGGCCAGAGACCGAUAGCGCACAAGUAGAGUGAUCGAAAGAUGAAAAGCACUUUGGAAAGAGAGUCAAAAAGCACGUGAAAUUGUUGAAAGGGAAGCGCUUGCAGCCAGACGUGCCUGUAGUUGCUCAUCUGGGGAUUUCCCCAGUGCACUCUUCUAUGGGCAGGCCAGCAUCAGUCUGGGCGGUUGGAGAAAGGCCUGUGUCACGUAGCUGCUUUCGGGCAGUGUUAUAGGGCAGGUGGAAUACGACCAGCCUGGACUGAGGUCCGCGCAUCUGCUAGGAUGCUGGCGUAAUGGCUGUAAGCGGCCCGUCUUGAAACACGGACCAAGGAGUCUAACAUCUAUGCGAGUGUUUGGGUGUCAAGCCCGAGCGCGCAAUGAAAGUGAACGGAGGUGGGAACCCUCGGGUGCACCAUCGACCGAUCCUGAUGUCUUCGGAUGGAUUUGAGUAAGAGCAUAGCUGUUGGGACCCGAAAGAUGGUGAACUAUGCCUGAAUAGGGUGAAGCCAGAGGAAACUCUGGUGGAGGCUCGCAGCGGUUCUGACGUGCAAAUCGAUCGUCAAAUUUGGGCAUAGGGGCGAAAGACU
rnacentral:rRNA from 1 species